rnacentral:lncRNA from 1 species
GAAAAUGUCUGCUUCGAAUCUGCAUAGAUCAGUCCCCAGGACUCUCAUCAUCCCACGUUAUUUUCUGGACAAAUUGGUGGAAAUGAGACCCAGCUUUUGUCUUCUAGAUACAAAAACAAUUAUUAAUGCGUCAUGAUCUUUGGAAUUGUGGAAUUUCGUAAGUUAGAAUAAGGAUUUGAUUGGGGGUGGAGGGUAAUAGUUGUGUACUGGCAGAAUUAUUGCAGAACUAAAAAGUUAAGAAAUGUGAGUACAUACAGGCAAUGUUUAUCCAAGAUAUGCAAACAAGUUAAGUUUCUUUAAAAAAAUCAUAAAUAAAAUAGUAAAAUCAUUUAAUAAAAUAGUAAGAUAACAAUUCAUUGCUUGAACUUUUCUCUUCAAUGUUACUUUGGUGUUACAUAAUGUCAGUUAAUCAUGGCAGUUCUUUCUUUUUGGUACUACUCAUUUUUAUGUAACGUUUUUCUUGCCUUUAUUUUCCCUUCCAAUUUUAGAAAUGUAUUGGGUUUCCAGAAAUCACCUAAGAUAUAAGCCACAUAGUCACUUAAACUAGCCAUGUCAGUAUAUUUAUCUUAGCAUCAUUAAGUCAUUAAAAUAACUUAGUAAGCAAUUCAAAUUGUGCCUCAGGAAAGAAAUAUUAUAUUGGAUUAAAAGAAAGUUCUAAAAUGUUUCAGGUCACUUUGACACUACAAGUGGUUCAUGUAUUUGGCUAUGCCUGAAAAUAUCAAUAUGUGAUCUUUUUACUUUUUAUCCUGAUUCCAUUUACACUUUAUAUUGCACGGAAAGCAUGAGGAGGGCAAAUCAGUACUUGCUGUUCUGUUUCCCUGCUUUAUGUUCAAAACAAUGUGUCAAUCAAAUAAGAGCCACCUUCCUGAAUUAUUCAUUGGCUAAAGGUAAGUUGGUAUGCUAUAGUUACUUUUGUGUAUUUUAGUUUAGAAACCUCAUUUUAGUUUUUCAUAGAGUAGCAGUAGUUUGUACACCUAGUGCUCUUCUAAGUGUUUUCCUAUUCAAUACUGUCAUCAGUAGUUGUUAGAUCAUCUAUCUUGGCAUUUCAUUUAAAAAAUUAACAUGUAUUCUGUCUCAUUUCUGAUGGUCAAUUCACCUAAGAUGUAAAAUAUUAUGCUUAUGAUAGGUCAAAAGUCCACAAGGCAGUUAGACAUGUCUUAGACAUCCUGUUGCACUGUCUUGUAAAUGUUUCAGUUAGUCAUUGCUGUGAUGUAAAUGCAUGUUUCACUUCAAAAUUCCUGUGUUGGUACUUAACCCCUAACUCGAUGGUUUUAAGGUGUGGGGGUCCUUGGGCAGUGAUUAGACCCUGAAGGCACUGUCCCUAGGGAUGCAGUUAGACCUUGUAUAAAAGGGCUUCAAGGAAAAGAUUUAUGACUUCACCUUUCUGCCAUGUGCGAUGCAGUAGUAAGACACUAUCUUGGAAGCAGAGUGAGCCUUAGCAGAUACCAAAUCUGCUAGUGCUUUUUGGACUUCCCAGAGAUCAGAGCUGUGAACAAUAUAUUUCUGUUGUUUAUAACUUAGUCUACAGUAUUUUGUUAUAGUAGUAGAAUGGGCUAAUCCUUGAAAGGAAAUUUGUUGCAAACCCAUUUUGCAUUUUGCUUUUUUUUUUUUUUUUUUUGUACCGGGGAUCAAACUCAGAACCUUGCGCUUUCGAGGGAGGCACCAGACCCACUGAGCUAAAUCCCUGGCCCUUUGUGGUUUUUUUUUUGGUACAGGGAUCGAACUUGCGUCCUUGCGCUUGCAAGGCAGGCGGCGAAACCACUGAGCUAAAUCCCCAGCCCGCAUUUUGCUUUUACACCUUGUAAAAAAAAAAAUCAGAUGGCAUCAACAAGAUCUGUAUCUGGGAUGUGAUAUUGUUUAUUGGUUUCUUUGUUGAUCCUCUAGUAACCCGCUAUUUUACUAACUAUGUCUUUGGAGAAAGUAAUGAAGUCAGGAUGCAUAAUUUCUUCAACUUUAUUGUUUUUCAAGUUUAUUUUUACUAUUUUAGUUAUUUUUCCACAUAAGUUUUAGAAUGUUUAUUUUUACAAAAAUAGCUUGAUGAGAUUAUGAUUGUGAUAUAGCAGUUUAAGGAGAAUUGACACUUUAACAAUAUUGACUCUUCAAAACCACGAACAUAGUAUAUCUUUCAGUUACAUUUUUCUUUACUGUCUCUUAGCUGUGAUUUUUGAGUCCCUUUUGUAUUUUGGCUGUCAUUGAAAAACAUGUGGAAGUGGGAUAUUACUAAAUGCAGUUUUCAGCUCUGUGUCUCAGAGGAAUUCAAUGUGUUAUAAAGAUUUCCUCCAGGCUGAUACCUGUCUUCAUUCUCCCAAAGGCUGAUUGUCUAUUGUCAGUCAAAGAGAAUGUAUUGAGCAUAGUUCCUAACAGUGAUGUGCUAACUUAUUAAAAUCUCUUGCAUGCAUUCUUUCAGUGCUCAUUUAUACCAUAGUUAACCUUUCCAGUGAAUAAUCCAUCAUCAAGAAAUUUGCAUUUAGCAAGUGCUAAAAAUGAGCCUCUAUUGGUUUGUAUUUUGUUGGCUACCAGUUCUUCAUCAUUUUCAUGUAAAUAGACUCCUACUCAAAACAAUCUAUUAUGCUUAACUUUUGAGAGAUGGAAAGGUGUUUUUUCCACUAUGCCAACAUAUUGGUGGCAGUCAUUUUCUGCUUUUCUUCAUUUUUGGAGAGUUAUGACAUAUUCUCAAUUGCCAUUGCUCUCUCUGAUUCAUUCAUCCUUUCUGUAGUUUCCUUUCUCCUUAUAUUUCAUUUUACAUCCAGAAGGGUAUGUACAACAAUCUAAACUUGUACCUUUUGCAGCAUAUAUUGGCUUAUUUUUUAUAUAAAUGUUACAUUCAAAAGUAAACAAUACUUUGUAUUGUUUAUCCAACAGUACUAUUAAAUAUUUAACAAUGGGUUGAGGUCAAAUGGUGAUGACACAACAUGUGGAAAUACGAGACAGAUGAUGCAUUAAGUGUUCAAAUAAAAUAUUUCAACACAUGACAAGACCUGCUUUUUUUUGGACUAGAAUAGAAAUAUGUGUAUAUAUAUAAUGAAAACUACUAGAUGAAUGAUGUAGAGGCAGUGUUGGUCAAUGUGUGCUUAAUGUCCUAUAAAUAGUCACUGUUUAGCAAUAUAAAAUUGUCAGUAUAUAUAGGAUGUUCAUUUAUUUGGUUUUCCAAUACAUUACAUAAGUAAUUCUUUUGAACUGGUCUAAGUGUAAUUUCCUUGAAAAUAAGGAUAUGAAAAUCAUCAACAGGAAGCAUGUGUUAAUAGCUCACAUGCUGGGCAGAUGGAAACAUAGAGUAGAAGAACCAUUUAGUUGAGAUCAUUUUGGUCUCAAGACUCCUAAUCUUUGCUUUAACAGAAAACAUUGCUUUGGCCAGCUAGAUGACACAACGAUCACACUGUCAACAUUUUCAUUUGUGCCAGAGCACCAGAUUUCCUGGAGAAGUUGUUAGGCAGUGAUUCUUUUUCUUAUUCACAGUCCCUUUGAGAAGCUAUUGAAAUAUAUGGUUUAUAUAUUUAUUUUGCAUUUAUUUUUUAAACAGUUGAUAGACAUGUUGAAAUCUAUGCAUUAAACCAGGUAGGGUUUCAUGAUCCCAGAUUAAGACCCUGGAUUUGGAAAGAUUGAGCUUCUUGGAGGGCUGAUUAUUAUACCAACCCAUUCCAAAUCAUCCUAUUUGCUUUUAAAGAACUUUUCAGACUUUAGUUAGAAAGUUCUUUCUGGUGUAUGACUUUAUGUAGGAGAUAAUAAUACAAAAUUAACAAUGCCAUUAUUACAAUUGUCUUGAGAGAGCUACACACACACAUAUACACACACACACCCCCUGUAUGUGUAUUAUUUUUCUUUAAUAAUAGCUACCAUAUAUUGAAUACCUAUUCCAUGACAGACUCAUGAAGUGUGUUAUCACUAUUUUUCUACCUACCUUUCCAGGUAGGUAUUAUGAUCACUAUUUCUUAGAUCUGAGCACAAACUUAGAACAAUGCUGUAUUUUAAAAAACAAGAUGUACUUUACAGCUUAGCUUUUAGGAAGGGAUUGCAAUUUGGCUCCCCAAGAAAUAAUAUGGAAAAAGAAACAGCUCUGUAUUUACAACUAUAUUCUAAACAAACUAAGAAUAUUUUUAAAGAUAAUAAUUUCUGCUGUCUCCGCAGUUGAGAUACAUAAAAUACAAGUAUGCAGGUACAAAAUAUCUGCCACAUUCUCUAGAUGCUGCAACAGGGAUAGAGAAGCAGCAAAGACAAAGCUAGUUACAGUUUUCUGGGAGUUUUUAGAAUAAAAUAAAAGGUAGACAUUAAAUAAGUAAGUACAAUGUAUUGUGAUAAAGAGAGUCAAGGCAAGUCUUCUUGUUGAAGUGACAGCUGAACCCUUACAUGUGAAGAUGGGUUGUUAAAAGAAGGUGGUGCUUUGAGGGAGAUGGUAGAAGAAUAUUUGUGGAACCUAGGAUAUAAGAAAGGAAUCAUUCAAAGUAUUAAAAUAAGUUUGGUUGUGGCCACCAAGUUUAAGAAGAAGAGUAGAAAUUGAGAAUGAAGAAGUUGAUAAUCUGCAUUGUGUAAGCUCUUGCAAAAAUCUUGGGUUUAGUGAUUUUUCAGAGGAAAUCCGUCAGAAUAUAAGUAGGAGGUGACAUGAGCUCUUUUUCAUUUAGAAACUUGCUUCCCAGAUGAAUUGUGGAGAUAUCUAGAAGGGCACUGGUGAAAGGGCUACAUCAAGAAAUGACUAAGAGGUAGAAUUGGUAGGUUCUGUUGGUUGGAUAUGAGGGAUGAAAAAAAAGGAGAAAAAAGGCUGACUCUUGGGUUUCUAGUAUAAAAACAGUGAGUGGGUGUUAGUACCAUUUCUCAACAUAGGUAAUAGCAGAGGAGGGGAAAGUUUCUGUAUGGGACUUGGAUUCUAGGAGCUUGUGUGAGUUAAAAAAAUAUUGAAUGACCUAAACUGCCAAGUUCACCUUUAUAAAUAAAUUCACUAGUGGUAACACAGAAACAACCAGUUUGACCUAGGAAUGACCAAAUGAAAACACAAAAUAGUUUGUGAUGAAUAACAAACAAAUGAAUAACUUGUUUCAUCAACUAGCAUUCAAGAAAACAUGUGUUCUUCUUUGUACUUUCCAACUUUAAAAGAUAGCACUAACUUUAAAGGAUAGCAGCAACUCAAGAUAAAUGAAACUUAUGUGACCAUAGAUGAAAGGGGUCCUCACUUUCUCAGGAUACACAACUGCUUGGGAAUCUUUGUCUUACCUAGACCAAUCUCAGUGUCCAGAAGGCCAGUUAGGGUGCAAUACCUGGAGUCAUGGUACAGUAUUUAUUUGGUGUGUGAAGUAUUUAUUGAGUGCAAUGGAAUACUAACCGAAAUAAAAAACAUUCGAGGAAUAACUGAUGGGGAAUUAGCGUUUAUAUGUCUCCAAAGUAAUCAGAUCACUUUCUUCUUUCCCAGAGGAUCUCACAGUGACAUAACGAAGGGAUCAGGCUAUCAUCACCUUCAUCCAGUGGCCAAUCAUUGUAUCACUGUGAUGAUAUUAAUCAGGGAUAGCUGUGUCCUGUUGUGAUGAAAUGCUGAGAAUUAACUUUACCCAUGAUGAAUUUUAGCCAAACAUAUGUGAAUCUAAUCAAGAUAUUAGCUCUAACUUUCCAUUUAUAGAAAAUUCAGGACAUAAAAGACUUAUACCAUACAGAUGAUCAAUUCCACAAGAUGAGUCAUUCUACAGAACAACUGAUCUGCUAUCAUCAGUCUGAGAGCUUAUAAAUUGUUGCUUCUCUUUUGAUGCUAAGAAAAAUUUUAGGCUAUUUUGUACAGCUGAGAAAAUAGUCAUAGUGAAAGUGGUCAUCUCAAUAAUGCAUCUUUGUAUUGGCUCUCCUUUGUGUUCUUUUCCAUCCCUUACUAUUCACUCAUGAAUGACAAACACUAAUAAAGAGUUUAAAUUUCACUUAAGCCUUCUUUCACAUUUUGCUUUCUGGGAAAUCAACACUAAGAGGAAGUGCAUCUAACAGAUUUAAGGAAAUAAUGAAGCCAGUAGUUGUAUUUCUAUACAGCAUAGAUUUUCUUAUGCAUUUCGGACAAAGAUUGCAUCCAUAUGCUUAUUAAGAUUAUAGAACAGGAGUGAAAAAUAGGAAAAUUUGAUUUAAGAGCAGAAAAGAAUUCUAAAGCUAUAAUUAAUAAUAUCUGUUUUCUGUACCACAUAGGGGUGUGUCAUCCAUUCAUAUUUGCUUUUAUUCGAAUAAAAAGUGAAAGUGAUCAAGGGGAAGAUAGGAAGUAAUUACAUACCUUAAUGGAGAUAAAAAGACCCUCAUUUUCAGGUGACUUACAUGGAUCAUUUUUAUGAGCCUUAGGCAGUGUUCAAAGUCAUUUUCCCAGCACCCUCUUCAUCUACACUCUUCUUCCUUUCUCUGCAAACUCACUAGAAUCCAAAAUGUGAUUCUGGCCUAAAAACUUUGCAUUUGUUGCUUUUUUUUCUUUACUUGAAAACUUUUAUGUUCGAUGCUUGGGUGGCUUGCUCCCUCACUUCUGUUAGAUCUCUGCUCAAAUAUUAGUUUAUGAAUCUAAAAUAUUACAUAUAUACAUAUACACAAAUAUAUGUAAGGAAAUAUAUGAUAAAUACAGUGUAUGUUUACCAAUGGGCUAUUUGAUUGCUCCUGAAAAGGUAAAAUAAAUGAUUACAUUUUCCACCUUACAUGUUUUCAAAGUGGAAGAUAUUGGUUGAACAGAUAAUCUUGGAAAGUUUGUUUUCUGACUCAUGUUGCCCUAGACUGACUUUAUGUCUUUGUUGCCCCAGACAUGAAAUAAGCCUUUUUUUUUUUUUUUAAUCAAGAAGGCUUAAUUUUUUAAAAAUUGAGGAAUGGCUUCAGAGACCCAUAUCUGGAUCCUAGAGGUACUCCUUGGAACUGGAAUGAUAUUGGUCCUACAUUUUAAUGAACAGAACAAGAAAAAAUUUACUUUAAAAAUCAUAAAUUUUGAUGUUUCACAUACAAUAAAAUUUACAUACCAUAAAUUCACUCUUAAAAUGUACAAGUUAUUGAUUUGUAGCAUAUUCAUAGAGCUGUGCAACUGUUAUCAUCAGUUAAUGCCAGAACAUGUUUCUCACCCUAGGAAGAAACUGUGAACUCAUGUCACUUCUCAUUUUCCCUUCAUCCUUGCCUCUGGCACCACUUAUCUAUUUUCUUUUUCUAUGAAUUUUAUUAUUCUGGAUGUUUCAUAUGAAUGGGGUCGUACAACAUGUGGCUUUUUGUAUUAUUCUGGAUCCUUUCACUUAGCCUCAUGCUUCCAAAGUUUAGUUGUAACAUGUAUUGGUAAUUCAUUUUAUCAUGUACUGAAUAGAUCUGCCACAUUUUGCUUAUUUAUUAAUCAGUUGAUAGAUGAUUGGAUUGGUUCUUUCUUUCUUUUUUCUUUUUUCGGUACCAUGGAUCAAACUCAAGACCUUGUGCUUGAGAGGCAGGCAUGGUGCCUCUGAGCUAAAUCCCCUGCCCUGGAUUGUUUCUACUUUAUUGGCUAUUAUAAAUGAUACUGCUAUGCACAUGCAGAUACAAGUCUUUGUUUCAACAUGUUUUUAUUUCUCUUGGAUCUAUACCUAAGAAUGGAAUUUCUCGGUCAUAUAGUAACUAUAUGUUGAAGUUUUGGAGGACUUGUCGAAUUGUUUUCCAAACAGUAUUUUCAAAACUGUUUAUAUUAUUUUCUAUUCCCAUCAGCAAUGUAUGAGUGAUCCAAUUUCUCUGCAUCCUCAAUAAUACUGGUUAUUAAAUGUCUUUUUGGUUGUAGCUGUCUUUAUAGGUAUGAAGUGGUAUCUAAUUGUGUUUUUUCUUCUUUUUUGAUUGCUUUUGAAAGUAAAUUUUCCUUGAUGUUAAAUCCAUACAGAGAGAUUUUGAAAUGAAGAAAUAAGUGACACCAACCUGUAAACUUCACUAAGGAAAUGCAAAUACAUAGCAGUGGACUUUGGUACUGAUAGACACAGUAAAGAAAAAUGGCUUACAGAACCUGUAGCAUAAUAAAAAUAGUAAAUUUUGUAAGUAAACACAUUUACAUUUUCCAACCCUGAGGACACAAGAUAGCAGCUCCCCAUGAAGACAGAAAAAUCCAUGCCUUAUAAUUAAAGCAUAGCAGGAGUGUCAGGAAAGUUAUCUAUAGUUGAAGGUAGGUUGACUUUGCAUCCAAAGCAUAAUUUUCCAUAUCCUGCCUUUCUCUCUUGUGAUUUUGAUUUCUAUUUUCCAAUUCACUUUUAACUUUACAUUAUUUUAGUUUACUUUUUAAAUUUUAUAAUUUUAAUUUAAAUUUUUAUUUUAUAAUUCUCAUGGUACCAUGAAAAUCUUAAUUUCUUACAUCAUUAUGAAAUCACUUAUUUUUUUUUCCUAUGCUAUAGAGGAUGUGGUUUCAAAACCUUCCUUUUUCAGGUUACAAAAGAUUUAAAAACCUUUUAAAAGGUAUUUUCUCUUAGAAUUUGGUCUUUAGAUUUUGGCUUCCUUUGUUGAGAAAAAGCUCUUUUUCACUAGAAUAGAUUUGGAAAGAGAAAAAAGAAUUUACUGAAGCAGAAGCACAGGGCAAAGAUAAUGGUAAAGUUUUAAAGAAAGCACACAAACUCUCAUUCACUUGAUUAUGGAAGUAGUAUGUGUUACCGUAGAACAUUUGGAAAAUAUAGUACAUUAAGGAGAAAAUUGAGACCAUAUGUUUCCUUAUUACCGAGAUAAUAGUGAUUAAUGCUUUGAUUGAUUUAUGUAUCUCCAGAACUUUUUCCAUUUAUAAGUGCAAUGACUCAGGCGAUCACCAAUACCAGGCCAAUUAGGAACCAGAAUCUAGCAUGAAGGGUCUAGAGGAAAGAGAAAGAAGGAUGGUAGAAAGUAGACAAGACCCAAGGUUCUUAACCUAUACAUUAUGAAAUUCUUAGCCAUAGAUCAUGCAGGGUUCAAGAUCUGGCUGACAAUGAAGAUAUAGGAGACAGGAUAGACAGGUCCUGGGCCCAGGGAAGUGAUCUGCUGUCCAGCUCUAGAAGAAUGGGGACAGGGGGAUGGGUUAUGACUACUUUUUUUGUUAGGACUAUCUCAGGAAAGGGAAUAGACUUGGCCCCCAUACACAGAGCUCAUUAAAGACACCAAACUUGGGUCCUGAGGAAGACAAAGGCAGGGGACUAAGACAAGGACUAAUUUGGUAUAGACUGAAAACAAAUAAAUUUAUUUCCAAUUAUGUUAUACAUUUUCUGGAAAACCAAUCUGUAAUAAUAUGCAACAAUAUGAUAAUUUUUUUCUCAAUCCAAGCUACUGUCAGCCUUCACUAAAUGUAUAAAGAAGUACUAUAGAGAUGAGCUCCCAGAGUAUAUUAUGUUAAUAAUUAUUCUUAAUGGAAGGAGCAGAAAGUGGCACUGUGUUAUGGGAAGCAACUAGAGAUAUUUGAAGAACGUGUAUUCUUAUUGCUCUUACAAUGGUUAAACAACUUUUAGCUUUCAGCCAAAAUGAGUUUUGUUUUUCCUCCCAGAAAAUUCUAAUAAGAUGCAAGCUAGAGUAGAGUGCCUGAUUCAAUUGUGGGUGUUCAAUAAAUAUUAAACACCAACAACAAUUUUUGAAGUUUCCUAUGUUAUGUCUGCUCUAGAAAGGAUUUCUUCAGCAGAGCUAUGGAUUAAGGAUAGUCUGAGAAUCCAAGAAAGAGUGACAUAGAAACUUUGCCCACAGCUCAAUCCCACACACCAAAGUGUCAGAACAAAAAGAUCAGUAUAUGGUGGUAACUCCUGCGUUCCUUCCUGCGCACUGAGUUGCCUUUUCUUGCUAUUGGCUCUUUAUGAAUAAGGGGUUGAAUCGGCUUGUGAUAAGGCAAGCGAAAAGUGUUGGCAUUUUGAAAAGGAUAACCUUGAAUAUGGUCUUGGGUUUUCUUUACAUAUUUACAUCUCCCCAUGUCUAGCUGCAACUUGAGAAGAAGUUGGAAAUAAGGAGAUAAGUAUUCUUUGGCCCAGAUGAAGAGGAGAAGUCAGUCUCUCUUCCGAUCUGCAGUCUGGAUCUCAUAUCUGAGAGUUAAAUCUCUACUGCACUGGGGACAAGUGCAGAUCACACAAUGGAGGGCCCCCUGUGUGCCUCUGACAGGAGAAGUUUGUUCAAAGUGUCAUAGUGUUGUUAUCUUGAUAGUGUAGUACAAUGUGGUGGGAUGGUGGGGGAAUGGUGCUGGGACAGGAGAAAUGCUCAGGUAGCUAAACAAUGAAAGCUUACAUGCUAUAUGUGCAGAAAUAAAAGGGAGAUCAGUGUAUCCACUGGUUAGCUGAGGCAACUAAAAGGUGGAGUGGGACUUUUAGGAAGAAUAAUGGUUGCAAAAGCUUAAAAUAAGGGAAUCUGAACUACAUACUGAAAAAGCAAUGGGAAAUUCAGUACUAUGUCCUUUCACCACAGUACCAUCACCAUGAAUCAUCUUUAGGCUAUGAUGAGAAUUCAGAGAUCUCAAGAAAGGGCAGGGGAUUUAGCUCAGUGGUUUUGCCGCCUGCUGCGCAAGCGCAAGGACCCGAGUUCAAUCCCUGGUACCAAAAAAAAAAAAGAUCUCAAGAAAGAUCUGUCUUGGUCUGUAUCCAUACGUCAAGUUGAAGUAUUUAUUUUUGACCUUGGUAUUAGAAAAUGCUGUCAUUGAUGGCAUGACUAUUCACGUGAGUGAGAGGAACGCAAAGCUGCCUGAUUAAUGGCAUACAGUCCAAUUUUUUCUAAGUACACAGGUAGUUAGGCUGUCUAUCACUGUUGGUGGCUCUGCCUCUUCACCUUUGGGACUACAUAAAAUCCCAGUUAACAGAAAGCUCCCCCAGGCUUGGAGUAUGAAAAAUCAAUUUGUUGAAUGCUAUUGCUUCCCAGGAGUGAGUGUAUACGCUGCUUUGCUAACCAUUCAGCUUCUGCACAUUCUUUCCACUUUUCUUUGUGGGCCCUGCUUUAAUCAAGCUGUUUGGCCUGUGGUAGGUGCAGCUUCUGUGGUUUAGUGCACAUGUUCAGGGGCAGACAUUCAAUGAACAGAGCUUAAAUGAUGAUUGAGUGACUACAUUCUGGGUCUAUGUUUUUGGCACUCUGUGUUUGCACCCAUGUCAAUUAUGGCCCACGAGUGAUGCUGUGGAGACUCCUGGGGGAAGUGAGAAGGGUCCAUGUUGUGCUGUUCUUUUUUUGAAUGGAUGCUUACUUGAGUUGACUGCUCAAUGACAUAUCUUGACCCUUGUGGGGUGAUUUUCAUCAGAAAGGAGCUGUUAGAACAAGUGUUUCAUUUUUUUAGGUGCUCAUGUGUCUAUGAACAAGUGUUCUAGGAGGUAGAAUUUGUAUUUACCUCUUUCCCCUAAAAGACCUGUGCAAGUUUCUUCUGUGAAAGUGGCCAAACCACUUCUGGCUUGAUUUACAUAUUUGCCUUGGGAUAAUUUUACAUCAAGGACAGGAUUCUUUUGAAUCAUGUGUAUUUUCUUGUGCUUUGGGUUUAAAAGUCAAGUCAUGGAAUAUAUAGAAGUUUCUGAAUGAUUGCACCAACAUUGCACGAUACUGCCUUCUGUGCUGGCUUGGUUUUUAAAAGGAUGCUGGGCAAAGUCUCAUUCUGGCUUUUAGAAGCAUGGUUUUGUCUAGCACACUGCACAAAUAGAUGUACCCAAAUUCAAUUGGUGGUGGAGAGCAGAUUUCAUAACUUUAGCAAAGUCUGCCAUCAAAUCUAACAUGCUGGCUUCAUCUUAAUUUUAGGAGUUUAGGGAAAUUCUCUUGUCAAGAUACCUACUUGCUAAAGAUCUGAUGUGUGAGUAUGAGUUGGGUUAAUGCAGGACACUGAGACUUUAGUAUGAAAGAUGUGGAAUAAGGGGAUUCAGGAUUAAGUUUAAGUUCAGUAAUUAAGUUCUGUGGUUUUUGUUGUUCUUUUGUUUUUUUUGGUACCGGGGAUUGAACUUGGGACUUGGUGCUUGCGCGGCAGGCGUCAGAACCACUGAGCUAAAUCCCUGGCCCAAGUUCUGUGCUUUUUGAAGAUUGUCUCUGCUGCCACAAAACUUGGCCCCCUUGGUUCUGUGAGGAACAAAGUAUGUCUACAAGACAGAUGUGAAAUUUGGGUACUUGUUUUCUUUACCAUAUUCCAUAUUCAAAGUUCUACUUCUUAUCAAAACUUCUCUUUCUAAGCAGGUUUAUAUGGCUUGAGCAAAUUAAAAGAGAUAAAAAAAUGAAAGAGAUGAAGUACUGUAAAUGUAUAAGAAUAUUUCUAUUGUUUAAACAUAGAAUUAUUAAAAUAUUAACUUAUGUGUAUAAAAAUGAGAAAAAGUAUAAAUUUAAUAUAUAUAAGAUACUUAGAAAAUAUAGACACAAAAUGAUGCCUUAUUUAAUGGAAAUAAGUUGUUAUAUUGGGAAAUUUAGGAAGAAUUUGUCUACUUUUUGGUAUUAUUUGAAAUUUUGUAAUCAGCGUGUUGAUUUUGUAAAAAAAAGUGCAUAUGCUUAUUAGUCAACUUUGGCUAUCUUUAAGGAGGCCUAAAUUUCUCUAUAAAGUGAAGCAGCAUCUUUCAUGGACCUUUUGGUACCUGGGGAUAUAAGAUUAUUCAGGCAGGCUCUUGGUCAGAUGAAGGAACUCUAUUGGAAAUUCUCAGGGAUAAAAUUGAAAAAAAUGAACACUAAGAGUUAAUAUAUUUGAAUAAAGAAUGAAGCUUGCCCAUGCUCACAAAUACAUGUGCCUACUUACUUCAUUAUAUGAAGCUACUGUGACAGUUGCUUUAGACUCACAAUGGAACAAAAAGAUUAAAUGUGACAUGUCCUUUAAAGAGUGUCUAAUUAAAGUGGAGAGUAAAGACAGGAAACAGCAAUGAACUACUCCUAAAGCAUCUUAAGCCCAUGUAAGCAACAGUAUGGUAUAGAAGGUAUAUGUAAUGUCUAAGGGAGUUAGAUAUAGAAAUGUAUUCUGUGUGGAUUUGUUAGCUUAAUUAAUUGCAGUCAUUGUGUUUCCAAGAAUAAAUCACUUGAAACCAGUGUACCCAAUUAAAAAUAUUAAAAUAAAGAUUAAUAAAUCAUACUUAGUGUUAUGAUUUUUAUAAUUUUUAAAGUAAAAUACUAUGGGAAGAUGAAGGAGGCAGUUAUUAAUUCUUUCUGAAGUGCUCAUAUGCAAAAGGCCUUCAAAGAUGAGAAUUAUUUUAUUAUAAGAAUAUAUGUAUUUCAAGAAAAAGGACAAACAAAAGCAAACAAUAAUAAUGGAGACUUGUUGGGCAGGAAGUCAGUGAAUCUGGAAAGAGUAAAUAGUUCUGGUCUUAGAAUGACUUAUUAAGAUAUUUAGACUUGAUGUAGAGCUAGUAAAGGGCAUAAAGCAUGAUUAGAUCUGUACUUGUUACUAUGAAAUACCUAUAAAAUUAUAAUUCAGAAAUUAAAUCAUUUAGAAACCUAUGGAAUAAAUUUGUCUUCUCAAAGAGAUGCUUCUGACAUUUGAGGCAUGGCUAUUUAAUCAAUCAUAUCUUACAUAAUUAUUAUCAAAAUACACUCUAAUGUUUUUGAUAUAAUAAAUCCUUUCUUAUAUGACACUAAGAAAAGAAAAUUGAAAAUUUUAUUUACAUUUACAGUCUUUUGUUAAAUAUGGCAGAAAAUAAAAUUCCCAAAGCAACAAUAAAAACAAAACAAAUCAUAAGGAACAAAAAAUUAAUGAUUUUGCUUUUGUAGGCUUUGUAGUGUUACUAGUAUUACUGUACUACUAAGCAACUACUACUUACUCUUUAUUAUCCACCAUGAGCCAUAUAUCCUUCUAAAUAUUUUACCUAUAGUAACAUUAAAAGUUUUUAAGUUCUUUACUUUUAAAUUAAAUUUUGUAUUUUAGAGUAGACUUAGAUUUAUAGAAAAGUUACGAAGAUAGUACAGAAAGUGCUAUAUACUCUGCACUCAAUUUCUCCUAUUAUGAACACCUUAUAUUACUAUGGUACUUUGGCUACAAUUAAUAAAUAAAUAUUGUUGAGAACAAAAGUCUAUACUUUAUUUGAAUUUCCUUAGUUUUUACUUAACUUUUUUUCUGUUCCAGGAUACAUACCUGGUACCACUUGACUUUUAGUUGUCAUAUUUCCUUAGGCUCCUUGGCUGUGGCAGUCCAUAAUAGAUAUUUUUAAAAAGAUGUAUCUGGGUGUGGUGGUACAUGCCUGUAACCCCAGCACAUAGGGGUCUGAGGCAGGAGGAUCACUGCAAGUCUGAGGCCUGCCUGGGCUACAUAGUGAGUUCAAGACCAGCCUGGACUACAUAGAGAGACCCAGCAUAAAAAAAAAAAUGUGAUCUCAUUUAUGUUGUCUAGGCUGGCCUUGAACUCCUAGACUCAAAUGAUCUUCCUGCCUUGGCCUCUUGAGUUCUGGGACUACAAAUGUGCACCACUAUGCCUGACACAUAGUAGAAUUUUUAAUCAUUAUAAUAAUUAGACGUAGGAAGACUAUCAUCUAUCAUUUAUUGUCUUUUUAUUUUUUUUAAGUGAGCAAAUUAAAGCAUAGAGAGGUUAUGGUUACAAAGAUUACAGAGAAAUAGCAAAGAACUUCAGAACUCAGGGCCAAAGCCCCUCCCUUUCACCACUGCACUAUGCUGCUUCUACUAUACUGGGUAUUCAUUAAAAGGUUAACAAAUGGACAACUGCAUUCCCGCACUCAUGACAUAAGCCAACAUGUGGCAAGUGCUUGAAAGCUUCAAAAGGUAAAGGUUAUUUCUGGCUUGCAGGAGUUUAGUGAAGUUUCCAAAAAGAUAGCAACAAUGAGGUAAAGUUUGAGUUAGAGCUUGAGAAUUGAGAGGAAUAAUUGUAGAAUACACUUAGUUGUUUUCAAAUAUAUUAGAAUGCCUAUCCCACUUCAUUUUUGUAAUACCUCCAGGGUAGGUGAAUUGUUUUGCCUUGGAGAAAAUGGCUUGAGCACAAGAAUUUUGGGGUCAUAUUUAAUAAACUUUCAAUAUUUAAGCAAAGUUAUGGCAUAGAAAUUUAGCUUACUUCCAAUUGAUCACUUUCUUUCCCAAAUACUUUCCCAUCUAAUGGAAGGAUGAGGUCAACUUUGCUCAUUAUUAAUUCUUUUACAUCAUUCUGGCACAUAGGAUGUGAUGAAUAAGUAUUUGUUAAAUGAAUGAGUGAGCCCUGAUUCAAUUCAAAGAGACAUUAAAGAGUUCUUUGGAAUACUGUAGGUAGAUGGAGGCUAUGCAGGGUUUCCCUUCUCAAAUGCAAAUGCUGUUAGAGAAUCCUAGCAUCUUUUAACAUCUCCUGGUGUCUGUAAAAAUACAGUACAGAGAAGUCCAGAAAGUCUUCAUCCUUUGCUCUCCUAACCAGACAGCUAGCUCCUUUGACUUCUCUAACCAGACAGCUAGCUCCCUAAAUUUGUAAAAAUUCAUUCUCGGAAUGUUCUAGGAAUGUGUUCUGUAAUUCUGUAUGACUUUUCUAAAAAGUAAGGAGUAACUCUUAGAAUAUUAAGUUUAUUUAUUAGACCUGAACUGUACUGAGAAAUUAUUUUAAAAUGAUAAUCAGCAGCUUUACUUUGUCUUAAUUACCUCUUCAUGUGGUGCGAAUAUGAGCAAUUUGUGAUAAUUUUAAAAAAUAGUAACUUUAAAAAGUCCAUUCUACUUCAAGGGAAAAUGUGAUACAUGUGUAAUAGAGAUGAUUUUUAGAGGUUUUGGGAAAAUGACAGAAUUUCCAAAUUUGAAAUAUAGUACUUACAUUGCAUAACAUGCCUUUUGAGUUAUGAUGCCUUCCUUGCAGCCUUCCCUUUUACCCAGAUGGUAAUGGGUUUGAAAAAGGAAGACUAACCAAUCAGGAUUGGUCCUCCCAGAUUAAUUCUAACCUUGCAAGAACCUGGAAAACUGCCCUCUAGUGGAAUUUUUAAAAAUUUAGGUAUGCUCAUGUGUGCACAUGCCACACUUGUGUGUGUCCAAGAGAUCUGUCUUAUGGUUAAGGAUGGCAUGAAAAUUCAAUGUUCUUCACAUUUCUCUGAAGCAGUUAUGGGAAUGGCAAUUUCAAAUGGAAAAAGUAAAGGUUAAAAGUGACUUAUAGGAUAUGCAUUUAUUAUUUUGCUGUUUUUUCCAUUUGAAACUUAGCUUAUGUUAGCAAGGGCUAUAUUUUCAAGGUAGUUACAAGAGUGCAAAAAUAAAAAUUAACAAAAAAAUAGAGGCAAAAUAAUAAAAUCUAUAAAGAAUAGUGGCACAGAUAUUUAUUAGGAGGUAACUGUGCUUGAUGUUUGACCAUGAUUUUAAGAAAAAUGAGAACAUCUUGUUUUUAAACUUAAUAAAUUCUGGUUUUUUUUGGUAUAAUUAUAUUCUUGUGUAGAUAGCUUAUAAAUAUUCAGAUGCUGCUUUGUGUUUAUCUUGACAAUCAAGGCAGAAAUAUAUGUUGACGCCAUGAGAGCUGAAAGGGGUGAUGGGAUGUAGGACAGGGAAACAAGGGUCAACUUUAUGAGUAGGUGAGUAGAUGAAUAGCUGCCUCAUGCAUCAUUUGAUUUCUAGGUGAAUGAUUUUUUAAAAAUGAUUUUGUAAUUCUAUCUUUAAUUUUAUAAUUUAUUUAUUUAUUUAUUUAUUUAUUUUGCGGUACUGGGGAUUAAACUCAGGACCUUGCACUUGUGAGGCAGGCACAGCGCCACUGAGCUAAAUGCCUGGACCAAUUCUAUUUUUAUUUUGUAACACAUUGUAAACAACUUCUCUGUGAUUAAAUGCAUAUCAAAAUCAUGACCUUUAAUGACUACACUGGGUGUGUUCAGAGCUGUAAGUUCAGUGGAAUGAUGCAAAAUAUUUUUGUUCACUACACAACAGAACUGCAUUGUCUCUUUCUUUUAGGUUGAAUGAUGUCAAAUGAAAGAGAUGAUCUUCUGCUUUCCAAAUAACUCAUUCUCUAGCCAACAUUCCACUGUGGAAGAUGCAUAUCUUCUUCUUUAAACAUUACCAACAAAAGUUCUUCAUUAAAGCCUAAGCCAUUAUCAAUGAAUACUUUAAUUAUCAACACACACCCUGUUGCAAUUUCUUGUCUGUGGACCAUCUCCAUCAGAGUCACCUCAGAGUCUGUUAAAACAUUGACUUAACGGCCCCACCUGGGACCAGUUGGAGCAGAAUCUCUAGAUGGGAAAAUGGGUAAGCUGGGUGAUUUUUAUAGCCAGCGAAAAACUAGAAUCACUGAAAGGAUACACUGAGAACAAGGCUUUUUAGAAUACAGUUUAGACCCCAAAGGAGGGAGGGCAGAGGAUGCCAAGACAGAGGACAGAAGAAGAGAUAAGACGAGUGUGAGACACUACAACUGAGCUUUGGCUCCCGCAUGAUCCUGAACAGAACCAGUCCCUGGAAGAGUCAGUUACUCUGUUCAGUGGCUCUAUGACUAACCUCCCUCAUUGGGAAAAUGGGAGACAUGAAAACUUCUUUUGGAAAUGGCAAUGCUAGACCACAAGAAUGCAUGAAAAACAAAGAAUUCUCAGAGAUAAACUCCCUUGACUUGACUGAGCCCCUUGGGGUAGAGGCUUUUCAUUUAUGCUGGCCCCAGUGACAUGUGGUGUAGAUCCAGAUAUGUCCUGAGUCUUGUGAUCAUAGGCUUUCUUUCAAAAACAGUUGCUGACAAUCUGUCACUCCUUUGUGUUACAGCUCAGCCUGUUUGAAAAUGUAGGGUAUCAGCUGCUGUUGCUGUAGGUCCAUUUCUGUUUUCCAGCAGGUGGGUGUGUCUGUUUCUUUCCUUUCAUCUUCAUCCAGGCUUUCUUCUUUCAGGCACUUUCCGGUUUGUCAAGCCAAGUAUGCCUGUCAUGUUGGAACCCAGCCCUGGGACACUCACCAACUUCUCUUUGUGUUGGUAUCUCCCUUGACUGUGUUCCCCUUCUUCCUUAUCUUCCUAGAGCCUCCCAGUCCAUUCACAUGGUCACCUAUGUGUCUUAUUCUUUUGAUUGUGGAUGCUCAAAAAUUGCCAGUUAACCCUACAGCAUCACUUUUCUUUUUUUCUUAAUCCAGACUUGCCUUUUGCUUUUCCUUUGGGUCAUUGUGGCCCCUUUCUUCUCAUUUCUUUUUAUUGUUUUGUACAUCAAAUCAAGCAAAAUGCUUCAGUAGAUCCCUUGAGCUGCAGCAGAUUUCAAUGGAAAGGUAGUAGGUUUCAGACUCUGACCAGGGUUGGAAUCCUUUCUUUGCUACUUCUUGGUACCUCUGAAAACAAUAAUUCUGUCACAGAGUUGUGCAAUUUUAUUUAAUAAUACAAAAAUAUGCCAACCACAGUACCUGUAAGAAGAGAUGCUCAGUACGUGGUAGCUGUUACUAUUCAUUUUAUUUUUGGAUUAAAACUUUCCAUACCACUGCAACCCACAGUGCUUUCUGUCUUCCUUUGUACUUGUACUAGAUUUUCUUGGGUUUGUGGUUCCAAGAGACGUGACAAACUGGAUGUACAGCCCCAGCCACGUGACCCAAGAGUAAAAGAACUGAUGAUCAGGAAACAGCUAUAAUCCAGGAACUUACCAUGUCUAUUGCCCACUCUCAGGCAGGGGUUUCUCUUAAGAGUAGGCCCCUGAGAGGUGGAGAAUAUUUUCUUGAGUGUUGAAGUAAUUCAGUCUUUUAAGUAAAAGUUUGAUGAAAAGCAUGGUUUUCUCAGUGUCAUUUUGUUGAGUUCUGGACCACUUCUGUUCUAGGAAGUCCUAUCCAGUGGGGACUUGGAGCUUCCACCAUUCUAUGGCUUUUGGCAAUGGCCUGGCUUUGGUGACAAUGCAAUUUUCUAGCCUCCUGUUAUACUUUCUUUUGCUAGGAAUUUCUGCUGUUUGGUGUUAUACAAAAAUUGUCUAGGUUGGGGAUCUUGUAAACUAUGAUGUUGUUGGCUCAUUCAUCUCUGAGACUUCCAGGAUUGAGUUUCUAGUGAAGUCUACUCUUCUAUCCCUUUUGAACUUCAAGCUACAACAUAAACAUAAACAUGUUACACCUAAAAAUGUGAUUGUUUCAUCCUAUAUACCACAUAUAUUCUGAUCCAGGGGUUCUCAAGUGUAGCAAAUAAGGGAGGUUUCCCCAUGAGAUUCUGCUGUUCCAGACAUUGUCUCCACUGUUUCUAUUAAAAUUUAGUAUUGAGAAACCUUUAAUAUCUUUUAGGAACAUUGGAAAGGAGCAAAUAUUGAUUAGAAGUCUGACAGAGUGGGACAAAUAUUUCUUAAAAUUCUAAAUUAUCUGUCAAAAUAGAAAAUACAGGUCUGGGGCCGGGGAUUUAGCUCAGUGGUUCCAGUGCCUGCCUCACAAGCGCAAGGUCCUGAGUUUGAUCCUCGGUACCAAAAAAAAAGAAAAAAAAAGGAAAAAGGAAAAGAAAAUACAAGGCUUUUCUUUCUACUUCUUGGUCCUCCUCCAAACAUUUCAGUUAAGCAGAUAAAAAUAAAUCUGAAAGCCAAUCAACAACAACAACAGCAACAACAACAAAAACACAAAGAAAAAUCCCUUUAUCUCCCCUGAAAUUCCUACACCCAAAAGCCAAAAAGCUCAUGUCCUUUCUUUUCUGCUCUUCCAGAUUCUGUUCAUUCUUGGACUAAAUUUCCCUUGAACUUCCCUUUCACAUCUUGUUCAUCACUGGCAGCUCUAUCCCCAUGUUUCUGGCUACUCUCCAAAUUCUACUUCUCCUUCCAAAAAGACAUACACUGUAUGCUUCAUUUGAGGCAGAUCACAAACUUCUUAGUAGCUGUGUCUUUUUUAAUUAGCAAGAUUGUAUGUGUCUUGAGGGUACAACAGCUUGUACUCUCUGUAGAAUGUAGCACAAUGAUUUCCAAAAGACAGAUGAUCAAUGUAAGUAUAUUAACUGGUUAUUGAUUUUUGCUUUAGUUCUACUUCACGGUUUUCAUGCUUGCCAAGUUCUGCUUAUAGCCAAUGUAGGAUUAUAUUUGGCACCUGGGGACAAAGAUGGCAUGGGAAACUAAAAGCCAGAGAUAAUCCUAUAAGCUCAUUUAGAACAAAGGUUUAAUUAUCCCUCCAUCAACUGAAUCUUUUAUGUGAGCUGAGUUGCAAUAAGCAACAAAUUGGUGAGUUUCAUGUUGGCUACUUAAAUAGCAUGAGGAAUACAAGCUAGAGUGAAAGAGAAGCAGGAAUCUGGACUUAAUAAUCAGCUUGGGGCUGGUCAUAUCAGUCAGAGAGCAACAUGCUUUAAAUGUGUCAUCGAAUGAUGAUGUGGGGAAAUAAGCAUCUGAUGAUUUAUGAUAGACAGGAGCUAGUAUGGGGAUAUUAUGUGCUCUCUAAUGCCUAGUUUUCCUCAUUUAUAAACCAAAAGGCUAAGUGGAGCUGUUCCUGGAGACUGAAGUAGCCAAGUGCCAGUGAAAAGAAUAGGAAUAAGAAGAGGAAUGGGGGCUUCUUAGUAUGGCCUUUUACUGCUGUCAAACAGCUGUGCUCUUUCUCCUCCCUUCUGGGUCCUCAGUCUCUCUACCAUCAUAGGUCAACAGCUAGAAAAACCUGAUAACCAGUGGUAAAGACUGUGGCAUCCUGAAAGGAUAUUGCUUCUGCUUCCUAAAUCCUUUUUAAAUAUCUCCACUGCUACCUUGUUAGCAGUGGAUUGUAGUAAAAUAGUGAAAGGAUUUAGUAACUGGUAUAGUGGAAUGCACUGACCUGUGAAGAUAAAAACUGAUUAUAAAAAACCAAGAUGACCAUACCAGUAAGCCCUGCUCUUUGGAAUCAAGGUUCAGUUGCCUCUGGCCUGAACCUUGUAAGGGCCUCCAAAGUGGGUCUUCUAGUACAAUAGUUAGAGUGAUCUUUUCCAAGUGUAAAUGUCAUUUGGUAACUCUCUUUCCUUCUUUUCUUACAACCUUUCCAUGGCCCUCCACAGCUCUUAAGAUAAAGAGAACCUCUUUGGCAUGGCCUUUACAUUCUUCCAUAAUUUAUCCCCAUCUUCAUGUGAUAUAAUUCACCUAUCCUCUACAUAAAGCUGUAAGCACCAUGACAAUAAGGGCCAUUUUUGGUUUUUUCACACAAUUAUGUUCCCACUUAGAAUACUGCUUGACUAUACUAAGACCUUAUUAAAUAUCCUUUGAAUGAAUAAAUAAAUUAUAAAGCAAUCUCAAUUUUUCUAAUGCAUAUUUUCAUAUCUGGUCCAGGAUUUUUUUUGUUGUAAAUACAUGUGAAUGUGUUUUUAAUAACAAUUUUAUAGAAGAUACUUGUUCACAUUUCUUGUGUUGUUGAAUGGCAAUAACAUUCUCCUGGUGGUGGGUGUCAGGCAUCUGGGAGCUGUUCUAGGCUGCUUUCUUUGUUUCAACGCUAGUAUCUAAAAACAGCCAUGUGGCUCUAUCUGUGUAUUUCCCAAAUGAUUCUCCCAGUUGUUCCCUCUAGUUUACCCCUUGGGUCUGCCUUGGUCUUGGUCCCAUGAUUUCUUGCAGUUGUGUCCAACCUGUUCUCUGCUUUCUUUCUUCCUCUUCUCUAGCUUAUUUUUCAGAGACAACUUCCUAAAACACAAAAGUAUGUCACUCCUCCCCUAAAAUUCUUUAGGGUGCUCUGCAGAGGAUCAAGUCUUUAGAACAACAUCAAAAUUCCUUCAUCAUUUGACAUGUCUGUUCUUUGAGAACUUAUCUAUCUAAUAAAUAUUUAUUGAACACCUACCAGGUGCCAGAGAGUCUACUGGAAAUAUGAUGGCAGAAAAGAUGUACUUUUUCUGCACCUUUUUAGUGUUUUUUGUUUGUUUUGUAGUGUUGGG